rnacentral:lncRNA from 1 species
AGACAGCAGACCUUGUGCAAUGCACUCUCCCACGGGCCUCCCAUUCCAAUUUCCCCUUUUUAAGCCUUUCUCCCCAGCCUAAAGUUUUAAGAGGUUUCUGGAGGCGUAAGGAUUCUAUUUAUGUUUAAUGAACAAAAAAAUUAGUUUCAAUGAAAACUUUAUUUGAAAUGAUGAAUUCAAGCUGUUACCAGCCUCCCAAGUAAGAUGCCAGAGACUUCAAACACUGCUGUUGUUUCUCAAGGAAAAGAUCCAGUUAACAAGGAAUCAUUCUCUCUUCUUCAAUAGCUGCUUACGAAAUAAAAACAUCAGUAGGAGGGGAAGGAGGAAGGAAGGAGAAGAAAGAGGAAGAAUAGGAGGAGAAGAGGAAGAGAGGAAGAAGUCGUGAACAGCCCUCCUGCAUUUUGCAUCAGAUCACAAGACCCUGGUUCCAGAGCGGUCCUGCUUUACACCGAGGGAAAGGAAUGUCAUACAGAAAGGCCAAGAAGAAUCUGAAGAGAUGUCCAAUCACCUUUUCACGUGGCUGCCCAUUCUUCAUUGAACCUAAGCAUUAAAA